rnacentral:rRNA from 1 species
AGUUCAGAUCGUAGGCUGCAACUCGCCUACGUGAAGGAGGAAUCGCUAGUAAUCGCAGGUCAGCAUACUGCGGUGAAUACGUUCCCGGGCCUUGUACACACCGCCCGUCACACCAUGGAAGUUGGCCACGCCCGAAGCCGUUACUCCAACCCUUGUGGAGGAGGACGUCGAGGGUGGGGCUGAUGACUGGGGUGAAGUCGUAACAAGGUAUCCGUACCGGAAGGUGCGGAUGGAUCACCUCCUAA